rnacentral:rRNA from 1 species
CCUACGGGUGGCAGCAGUCGAGAAUCAUUCACAAUGGGGGAAACCCUGAUGGUGCGACGCCGCGUGGGGGAAUGAAGGUCUUCGGAUUGUAAACCCCUGUCAUGUGGGAGCAAAUUAAAAAGAUAGUACCACAAGAGGAAGCGACGGCUAACUCUGUGCCAGCAGCCGCGGUCAUACAGAGGGCUCAAGCGUUGUUCGGAAUCACUGGGCGUAAAGCGUGCGUAGGCGGUUUCGUAAGUCGGGUGUGAAAGGCGCGGGCUCAACCCGCGGACGGCACAUGAUACUGCGAGGCUAGAGUGAUGGAGGGGGAGCCGGAAUUCUCGGUGUAGCAGUGAAAUGCGUAGAUAUCGAGAGGAACACUCGUGGCGAAGGCGGGUUCCUGGACAUUAACUGACGCUGAGGCACGAAGGCCAGGGGAGCGAAAGGGAUUAGAUACCCUAGUAGUC